CGCCAAACGCUGAACGUCAUUGAUACAUGCCGGUUUAGCUAGAGAUGUGAUAGCUGUGAUCUUUUCCGAAUUACCUCAAUGCCCCUGUUAGACACCAGAAAACCCAAGAGCUUGCCUGCAGGAACACCAAAGACACAUUUGGCCGGAUUAAGCAUCAUCUUAUAAACCCGAAGGUUAUUAAAAGUCUCCUUCAAGUCAUCUAUCAAUGUUUCCUCCUUCCUAGAUUUCACCACAAUAUCAUCCACAUAAGCAUGAACAUUGCACCCAAUCUGUUUAUGAAGACAAUUCUGAACACAGUGCUGAUAAGUCGCCUGGGCACUCUUGAGCCCAAAAGGCAUAUAUACAUAGCAGAAGGCUCCAAAGGGAGUUAUGAUAGUUGUCUUCUCUUGGUCCUUAACUGCCAUUUUGAUCUGAUGAUAACCGGAAUAAGCAUCCAGAAAGCACAAACGGUCACAACCCGCCAUAGCAUCGAUAAUCUGAUCAAUACGAGGGAGGGCAAAGGGAUCAGCUGGACAAGCCUUGUUCAAGUCCGUGUAGUCCACACACAUAUGCCAAGUGUCGUUUUUCUUAAGAACCAGGACCGGAUUAGCUAGCCACUCAUGGUGACAGACCUCCACGAUAAACCCUGCUGCCAACAGCCGAGCUACCUCCUCCCCAAUAGCCUUACGCCUUUCUUCGUUGAAGCGGCGAAGAAACUGCCUGACCGGUUUAAACUUAGGAUCUAUAUUAAGUGUGUGCUCAGCGAGUUCCCUCGGUACACCUGGCAUGUCAGAGGGCUUCCAUGCAAAGAUGUCUCGGUUCUCACGGAUGAACUCGAUGAGCGUGCUUUCCUAUUUGGGAUCCAGGUUAGCGCUGAUGCUGAACUGCUUGGAUGAAUCGCCAGGAACAAAGUCAACCAUCUUAGUGUCUGUAGCCGAUUUAAAUUUCCACGCGGGAUCAUGCUCUGUAGUUGGCUUUUUCAGAGAAGUCAUGUCCGCCGGAUCAACAUUGUCCUUAUAAAACUUCAGCUCCUCUGUGGCACAAACCGACUCAGCAUAAGCCACAUCACCUUCUUCACACUCCAAAGCAAUCUUCCUGCUCCCAUGUACUGUGAUGGUCCCCUUAUGACCCGGCAUCUUAAGCUGCAGAUAAACAUAACACAGCCUUGACAUGAACUUAGCAUAAGCCGGCCGGCCGAAUAGGGCAUGAUAUGGACUCUUGAUUUUCACCACUUCAAAAGUCAACGUUUCUAAUCUUGAAUCAUGAUCAUCUCCAAAAGCCACCUCUAGAGCUAUCUUGCUAACUGGAUACGCCAAUUUACCAGGCACCACACCAUGAAAGAUGGUGCUCGAUGGUUUAAGGUUCUUAUCUGUCAGCCCCAUACGGCGGAAGGUAUCAUAGUAAAGGAUAUUGAUACUGCUUCCCCCAUCCAUAAGCACCUUGGUGAACUUAUACCCCCCAACUUGAGGUGCCACCACUAAGGCCAGAUGACCCGGAUUAUCAACCCGGGGCGGGUGAUCCUCUCGACUCCAUAAAAUGGGUUGUUCAGACCAGCGCAGAUACUGAGGUACCGCCGGUUCAACGGAGUUCAUGGCCCUUUUAUGAAGCUUCUGAUCGCGCUUACACAAGCUAGUGGUAAAGACAUGAUACGCCCACUAUUUAACUGCUUCGGAUUGCUCUGAUAACCCUAUUGUUGCUGCUGCUGAGCCCCCUGAUGGUUAUAACCUCCCUGAUUGCCCUGAUUGCCUUGAUUGCCAUGUCUGGUUUGAUUACCUUGGAAUCCUGAACCGGAACCGUUACCUCCAUAACCUGGCCCAUGAAAAUUGUUGGGCAACGUAGUAAUUUCAAAAAAAUCCUACGCACACGCAAGAUCAUGGUGAUGCAUAGCAACGAGAGGGGAGAGUGUUGUCUACGUACCCUCGUAGACUGGCAACGGAAGCGUUGACACAACGUAGAGGAAGUAGUCGUACGUCUUCCCGAUCCGACCGAUCCAAGUACCGAACGUACGGCACCUCCAAGUUCUGCACACGUUCAACUCGGUGACGUCCCUCGAGCUCCGAUCCAGCCGAGUGUUGAGGGAGAGUUUCGUCAGCACGACGGCGUGAUGACGGUGAUGAUGUUCUACCGACACAGGGCUUCGCCUAAGCACCGCUACGAUAUGACCGAGGUGGAAUAUGGUGGAAGGGGGCACCGCACACGGCUAAGGAACGAUCACAAAGAUCAACUUGUGUGUCAUGGGGCGCCCCCUGCCCCCGUAUAUAAAGGAGGGAGGGGGGAGGUGCGGGCGGCCCCUAGGGGUGCGCCUGGAGGAGUCCUACUCCCACCGGGAGUAGGACUCCCCCCUCUUGCCUUGUUUGGAGAAGGAAAGGGGAAGGGGGGAAGAGGAAAGGGGGGCGCCGCCCCGCCCAUUCCUUGUCCUAUUCGGACUAGAGGGGAGGGGGCGCGCGGCCUGCCCUGGCCAGCCCUCCUCUUCUCCCUUAGGGCCCAUGUAGGCCCAUUAACCCCCGGGGGGUUCCGGUAACCCCCCGGUACUCCGGUAAAAUCCCGAUUUCACCCGGAAUGAUUCCGAUAUCCAAAUAUAGGCUUCCAAUGUAUCAAUCUUUAUGUCUCGACCAUUUCGAGACUCCUCGUCAUGUCCGUGAUCACAUCCGGGACUCCGAACAACCUUCAGUACAUCAAAACACAAAAACCCUAAUUACGAUCGUCACCGAACUUUAAGCGUGCGGACCCUACGUGUUCGAGAACUAUGUAGACAUGACCGAGACACGUCUCCGGUCAAUAACCAAUAGCGGAACCUAGAUGCUAAUAUCGGUUCCUACAUAUUCUACGAAGAUCUUUAUCGGUCAAACCGCAUAACAACAUACAUUGUUCCCUUUGUCAUCGGUAUGUUACUUGCCCGAGAUUCGAUCGUCGGUAUUCCAAUACCUAGUUCAAUCUCGUUACCGGCAAGUCUCUUUACUCGUUCCAUAAUACAUCAUUCUGCAACUAACUCAUUAGUUGCAAUGCUUGCAAGGCUUAAGUGAUGUGCAUUACCGAGUGGGCCCAGAGAUACAUCUCCGACAAUCGGAGUGACAAAUCCUAAUCUCGAAAUACACCAACCCAACAAGUACCUUCGGAGACACCUGUAGAGCACCUUUAUAAUCACCCAGUUACGUUGUGACGUUUGGUAGCACACAAAGUGUUCCUCCGAUAAACGGGAGUUGCAUAAUCUCAGUCAUAGGAACAUGUAUAAGUUAUGAAGAAAGCAAUAGCAACAAACUAAAUGAUCAAGUGCUAAGCUAACGGAAUGGGUCAAGUCAAUCACAUCAUUCUCCUAAUGAUGUGAUCUCGUUAAUCAAAUGACAACUCAUGUCUAUGGUUAGGAAACGUAACCAUCUUCGAUCAACGAGCUAGUCAAGUAGAGGCAUACUAGUGACACUCUGUUUGUCUAUGUAUUCACACAUGUAUUAUGUUUCCGGUUAAUACAAUUCUAGCAUGAAUAAUAAACAUUUAUCAUGAUAUAAGGAAAUAAAUAAUAACUUUAUUAUUGCCUCUAGGGCAUAUUUCCUUCAGUCUCCCACUUGCACUAGAGUCAAAAAUCUAGUUCACAUCGCCAUGUGAUUUAACAUCAAUAGUUCAGAUCACCAUGUGAUUAACACCCAUAGUUCACAUCGUCAUGUGACCAACACGCAAAGGGUUUACUAGAGUCAAUAAUCUAUUUCACAUUGCUAUGUGAUUAAUACCCAAAGAGUACUAAGGUGUGAUCAUGUUUUGCUUGUGACGGAAGUUUAGUCAAGGGUCUACCACAUUCAGAUCCGUAUGUAUUUUGCAAAUUUCUAUGUCAACAAUGCUCUGCACGGAGCUACUCUAGCUAAUUGCUCCCACUUUCAAUAUGUAUCCAGAUUGAGACUUUGAGUCAUCUGGAUCAGUGUCAAAACUUUCAUCGACGUAACCCUUUACGACGAACCUUUUGUCACCUCCAUAAUCGAGAAACAUAUCCUUAUUCCACUAAGGAUAAUUUUGACCAAUGUCCAGUGAUCUACUCCUAGAUCACUAUUGUACUCCCUUGCCAAACACAGGGCAGGGUAUACAAUAGGUCUGGUACACAGCAUGGCAUACUUUAUAGAACCUAUGCCUGAGGCAUAGGGAAUGACUUUCAUUCUCUCUCUAUCUUCUGCCAUGGUCGGGUUUUGAGUCUUACUCGGUUUCACACCUUGUAACACAGGCAAGAACUCUUUCUUUGACUGUUCCAUUUUGAACUACUUCAAAAUCUUGUCAAGGUAUGUACUCAUUGAAAAACUUAUUAAGCGUCUUGAUCUAUCUCUAUAGAUCUUGAUGCUCAAUAUGUAAGCAGCUUCAAUGAGGUCUUUCUUUGAAAAACUCCUUUCAAACAUUCCUUUAUGCUUUGCAGAAUAAUUCUACAUUAUCUCCGUCAACAAUAUGUCAUUCACAUAUACUUAUCAGAAAUACUGUAGUGCUCCCACUCACUUUCUUGUAAAUACAGGCUUCACCGCAAGUCUGUAUAAAAUUAUAUGCUUUGAUCAACUUAUCAAAGCAUAUGUUCCAACUCCGAGAUGCUUGCACCAAUCCAUAGAUGGAUUGUUGGAGCUUGCAUAUUUUGUUAGUACCUUUAGGAUUGACAAAACCUUCUGGUUGCAUCAUAUACAACUCUUCUUUAAUAAAUCCAUUAAGGAAUGCAGUUUUGCUUAUCCAUUUGCCAGAUUUCAUAAAAUGCGGCAAUUGCUAACAUGAUUUCGACAGACUUAAGCAUAGAUACGAGUGAGAAACUCUCAUCGUAGUCAACACCUUGAACUUGUCGAAAACCUUUUUGCGACAAUUCUAGCUUUGUAGAUAGUAACACUACUAUCAGCGUCUGUCUUCCUCUUGAAGAUCCAUUUAUUUUCUAUGGCUUGCCGAUCAACGGGCAAGUCAACCAAAGUCCACACUUUGUUCUCAUACAUGGAUCCCAUCUCAGAUUUCAUGGCCUCAAGCCAUUUCAUGGAAUCUGGGCUCAUCAUUGCUUCCUCAUAGUUCGUAGGUUCGUCAUGGUCAAUUAACAUGAUCUCCAGAACAGGAUUACCGUACCACUCUGGUGCGGAUCUCACUUUGAUUUACCUAUGAGGUUCGGUAGUAACUUGAUCUGAAGUUACAUGAUCAUCAUCAUUAGCUUCCUCGCUAAUUCGUAUAGGUGUCACAGAAACCGGUUUCUGUGAUGUACUACUUUCCAAUAAGGGAGCAGGUACAGUUACCUCAUCAAGUUCUACUUUUCUCCCAUUCACUUCUUUCGAGAGAAACUCCUUCUAUAGAAAGGAUCCAUUCUCAGCAACGAAUAUCUUGCCUUCGAAUCUGUGAUAGAAGGUGUACCCAACAUUUUCUUUUUGGGUAUCCUAUGAAAACGCACUACUCCGAUUUGGGUUUGAGCUUAUCAGGUUGAAAAAUUUUCACAUAAGCAUUGCAACCUCAAACUUUAAGAAACGACAGCUUAGGUUUCUUGCCAAACCAUAGUUCAUAUGGUGUCGUCUCAACGGAUUUACAUGCUGCCCUAUUUAACGUGAAUGCGACUGUCUCUAAUGCAUAACCCCAAAAUGAUAGUGGUAGAUCGGUAAGAGACAUCAUAGAUCGCACCAUAUCUAAUAAAGUACGGUUAUGACGUUCGGACACACCAUUACACUGUGGUGUUCUAGGUGGCGUGAGUAGUGAAACUAUUUCACAUUGUUUUAACUGAAGGCCAAACUCGUAACUAAAAUAUUUUACUUCUGCGAUCAUAUCGUAGAAACUUUUAUUUUUUGUUAUGAUGAUUCUCCACUUCACUCUGAAAUUCUUUGAACUUUUCAAAUGUUUCAGACUUGUGUUUCAUCAAUUAGAUAUACUCAUAUCUGCUCAAAUCAUCUGUGAAGAUUAAAAAUAAUGAUACCUGCCGCGGGCCUCAAUAUUCAUCUGACCACAUACAUCAGUAUGUAUGAUUUCCAAAAAAUAUGUUGCUCGCUCCAUUGUUUCGGAUAACGGAGUCUUAGUUAUCUUGCCCAUGAGGCAUGGUUCGCAAGCAUCAACUGAUUCAUAAUCAAGUGAUUCCAAAAUCCCAUCAGCAUGGAUUUUCUUCAUGCGCUUUACACCAAUAUGACCUAACCGGCAGUGCCACAAAUAAGUUGCACUAUCAUUAUUAACUUUGCAUCUUUUGGCUUCAAUAUUAUAAAAAUGUGUAUCACCACGAUCGAGAUCCAACAAACCAUUUUCAUUGGGUGUAUGACCAUAGAAGGUUUUAUUCAUGUAAACAGAACAACAAUUAUUCUCUAACUUGCAUGAAUAACCGUAUUGCAAUAAACAUGAUCCAAUCAUAUUCAUGCUCAACGCAAACACUAAAUAACAUUUAUUUAGGUUUAACACUAAUCCCGAAAGUAUAGGGAGUGUGCGAUGAUGAUCAUAUCAAUCUUGGAACCACUUCCAACACACAUCAUCACUUCACCCUUAACUAGUCUGUGUUCAUUCUGCAACUCCCGUUUCGAGUUACUACUCUUAGCAACUGAACCAGUAUCAAAUACCGAGGGGUUGCUAUAAACACUAGUAAAGUACACAUCAAUAACCUGUAUAUCAAAUAUACCCUUGUUCACUUUGCCAUCCUUCUUAUCCACUAGACAUUCAGGGCAUUUCCGCUUCCAAUGACCAGUCCCUUUGCAGUAGAAGCACUUAGUCUCAGGCUUAGGUCCAGACUUGGGCUUCUUCACUUGAGUAGCAACUUGCUUGCCGUUUUUCUUGAAGUUCCCUUUCUUUCCCUUGUCCCUUUUCUUGAAACUAGUGAUCUUGUUAAUCAUCAACACUUGAUGCUCUUUCUUGAUUUCUACCUUCAUCGAUUUCAUCAUCAUGAAAAGCUCGGGAAUCAUUUACGUCAUCCCUUGCAUACUAUAGUUCAUCACGAAGUUCUACUAACUUGGUGAUGGUGACUAGAGAAUUCUGUCAAUCACCAUUUUAUCUAGAAGAUUAACUCCCACUUGAUUCAAGCGAUUGUAGUACCCAGACAAUCUGAGCACAUGCUCACUGCUUGAGCUAUUCUCCUCCAUCUUUUAGCUAUAGAACUUGUUGGAGACUUCAUAUCUCUCAAAUCGGGUAUUUGCUUGAAAUAUUAACUUCAACUCCUGGAACAUCUUAUAUGAUCCAUAACGUUCAAAACGUCUUUGAAGUCCCGAUUCUAAGCUGUUAAGCAUGGUGCACUAAACUAUCAAGUAGUCAUCAUAUUGAGCUAGCCAAACAUUCAUAACGUCUGCAUCUACUCCUGCAAUAGGUCAGUCACCUAGCGGUGCAUCAAGGACAUAAUUCUUCUGUGCAGCAAUGAGGAUAAACCUCAGAUCACGGACCCAGUCCGCAUCAUUGCUACUAUCAUCUUUCAACUUAGUUUUCUCUAGGAAAACAUAUAAAACAUAGGGAAGCAAUAACGUGAGCUAUUCAUCUACAACAUAGAUAUGCAAAUACUACAAGGACUAAGUUCAUGAUAAAUUAAAGUUCAAUUAAUCAUAUUACUUAAGAACUCCCACUUAGAUAGACAUCCCUCUAAUCAUCUAAGUGAUUACGUGAUCCAUAUCAACUAAACCAUAACCGAUCAUCACGUGAAAUGGAGUAGUUUUCAAUGGUGGACAUCAUUAUGUUGAUCAUAUCUACUAUAUGAUUCACGCUCGACCUUUCGGUCUCCAGUGUUCCGAGGCCAUAUCUGCAUAUGCUAGGCUCGUCAAGUUUAACCCGAGUAUUUCUGCGUGUGCAAAACUGGCUUGCACCCGUUGUAGAUGGACGUAGAGCUUAUCACACCCGAUCAUCACGUGGUGUCUGGGCACGACGAACUUUGGCAACGGUGCAUACUCAGGGAGAACACUUUUAUCUUGAAAUUUAGUGAGAGAUCAUCUUAUAAUGCUACCAUCAUAACUAAGCAAAGUAAGAUGUAUAAAAGAUAAACAUCACAUGCAAUCAAAAUAUGUGACAUGAUAUGGCCAUCAUUAUCUUGUGCCUUUGAUCUCCAUCUCCAAAACAUCGUCAUGAUUUCCAUCAUCACCGGCAUGACACCAUGAUCUCCAUCAUCUUGAUCUAUAUCAAUGUGUCGUCACAUGGUCGUCUCGCCAACUAUUGCUCUUGCAACUAUUGCUAUCACAUAGCGAUAAUUGUAAAGCAAUUAUUUGGCGCUUGCAUCUUAUGCAAUAAAGAGACAACCAUAAGGCUUCUGCCAGUUGCCGAUAACUUCAACAAAACAUGAUCAUCUUAUACAACAACUUAUAUCUCAUCACGUCUUGACCAUAUCACAUCACAACAUGCCCUACAAAAACAAGUUAGACGUCCUCUACUUUGUUGUUGCAAGUUUUCCGUGGCUGCUACGGGCUUAGCAAGAACCGUUCUUACCUAUGCAUCAAAACCACAACGAUAGUUUGUCAAGUUUGUGUUGUUUUAACCUUCGCAAGGACCGGGCGUAGCCACACUCGGUUCAACUGAAGUUGGAGAAACUGACACCCGCUAAUCACCUGUGUGCAUAGCACGGCGGUAAAACCAGUCUCGCGUAAGCGUACGCGUAAUGUCGGUCCGGGCCGCUUCAUCCAACAAUACCGCCGAACCAAAGUAUGACAUGCUGGUAAGCAGUAUGACUUAUAUCGCCCACAACUCACUUGUGUUCUACUCGUGCAUAUAACAUCAACGCAUAAAACCAGGCUCGGAUGCCACUGUUGGGGAACGUAGUAAUUUCAAAAAAAAUCCUACGCACACGCAAGAUCAUGGUGAUGCAUAGCAACAAGAGGGGAGAGUGUUGUCUACGUACCCUCGUAGACCGGCAACGGAAGCGUUGACACAACGUAGAGGAAGUACUCGUACGUCUUCCCGAUCCGACCGAUCCAAGUACCGAACGUACGGCACCUCCGAGUUCUGCACACGUUCAACUCGGUGACAUCCCUCGAGCUCUGAUCCAGCCGAGUGUUGAGGGAGAAUUUUGUCAGCACAACGGCGUGAUGACGGUGAUGAUGUUCUACCGACGCAGGGCUUCGCUUAAGCACCGCUACGAUAUGACCGAGGUGGAAUAUGGUGGAAGGGAGCACCGCACACAGCAAAGGAACGAUCAAGAAGAUCAACUUGUGUGUCAUGGGGUGUCCCCCUGCCCCCGUAUAUAAAGGAGGGAGGGGGAGGUGCGGCCGGCCCCUAGGGGUGUGCCUGGAGGAGUCCUACUCCCACCGGGAGUAGGACUCCCCCCUCUUGCCUUGUUUGGAGAAGGAAAGGGGAAGGGGAAAGAGGAAAGGGGGGCGCCCCCCCCCCUUCCUUGUCCUAUUCGGACUAGGGGGAGGGGGCACGUGGACUGCCCUGGCCAGCCCGCCUCUUCUCCCUUAGGGACCAUGUAGGCCCAUUAACCCCCGGGGAGGUUCCGGUAACCCCCCGGUACUCCGGUAAAAUCCCGAUUUCACCCGGAACGAUUCCGAUAUCCGAAUAUAGGCUUCCAAUAUAUCAAUCUUUAUGUAUCGACCAUUUAGAGACUCCUCAUCAUGUUCGUGAUCACAUCCGGGACUCUGAACAACCUUCGGUACAUCAAAACACAAAAACCAUAAUUACGAUCGUCAUCGAACUUUAAGCGUGCGGACCCUACGGGUUCGAGAACUAUGUAUACAUGACCGAGACACGUCUUCGGUCAAUAACCAAUAGCGGAACCUGGAUGCUCAUAUUGGUUCCUACAUAUUCUACGAAGAUCUUUAUCGGUCAAACCGCAUAACAACAUACGUUGUUCCCUUUGUCAUCGGUAUGUUACUUGCCCGAGAUUCGAUCGUCGGUAUUCCAAUACCUAGUUCAAUCUCGUUACUGGCAAGUCUCUUUACUCGUUCCGUAAUACAUCAUUCCGCAACUAACUCAUUAGUUGCAAUGCUUGCAAGGCUUAAGUGAUGUGCAUUACUGAGUGGGCCCAGAGAUACCUCUCUGACAAUCGGAGUGACAAAUCCUAAUCUCGAAAUACGCCAACCCAACAAGUACCUUCGGAGACACCUGUAGUGCACCUUUGUAAUCACCCAGUUACGUUGUGACGUUUGGUAGCACACAAAGUGUUCCUCCGGUAAACGGGAGUUGCAUAAUCUCAUAGUCAUAGGAACAUGUAUAAGUUAUGAAGAAAGCAAUAGCAACAAACUAAACGAUCAAGUGCUAAGCUAACGGAAUGGGUCAAGUCAAUCACAUCAUUCUCCUAAUGAUGUGAUCCCAUUAAUCAAAUGACAACUCAUGUCUAUGGUUAGGAAACAUAACCAUCUUCGAUCAACGAGCUAGUCUAGUAGAGGCAUACUAGUGACACUCUGUUUGUCUAUGUAUUCACACAUGUAUUAUGUUUCCGGUUAAUACAAUUCUAGCAUGAAUAAUAAACAUUUAUCAUGAUAUAAAGAAAUAAAUAAUAACUUUAUUAUUGCCUCUAGGGCAUAUUUCCUUCAAAAACCACCUCCUGAACCGCCAGGCGGGCCAUUGUCAUAUUGAAAUAGAUUGGAAUUUUUGAACUCCCGCAUAAUGAAGCAAUCCUUCCAAAGAUGCGAAGCUGGCCUUUCCUUCGAUCCAUGUUUUGGGCAAGGCUGAUUUAACAGGCGCUCCAGAUUGGGACCUGACCCUCCACCCCGCUGGGGCGGUUUACCCUUACGACGCUGACCGUUAUCCUGGGCGGUGGUGUUAGCCACAAAGUCCAAGCUAUUGUCUGCCUUACACUUACCAUUGUUCCCAUGACCUAUCGGGUUAUGCUGCUGCCCAUUGGUACUGUCGUUCUUUUUCCCCUUCCCCGGUUUGUCAUCCUCAGACUCAGGGUCUUUGGUACUAUCUGAAUCGGCAUAUUUAACCACAGCGGUCAUAAGCGUUGACAUGUCAUUGCAGUGGCGUUUGAGCCUUCCCAACUUCAGUUUCAGUGGCAUAAACCGGCAAUUGCCUUCAACAUCAAAACUAAUGUAUCCGCAUUGAUGCGGUCUGAUGAAUGCAGAAUAGCCGAGACUCGCUUCACCCAAUGGGUUGUAGACUCCCCAUCCUCUUGAACACAAGUGGCUAGGUCCACAAUUGACAUAGGCUGCUUACACGUAUCCUUAAAAUUCUCGAUAAACCGGCUUUUUAACUCGGCCCAUGACCCGACAGAGUUAGCUGGUAAACUCUUUAACCAAGUACGAGCUGUUCCUUCCAACAUCAUGGUGAAAUAUUUAGCACACACUACUUCAUCCACAUCCAGCAUCUCCAUCGCCAUCUCUUAACUCUCAACCCAUGACUCAGGGGGUAAAUCAGCAGUGUAAUUGGGCACCUUACGAGGGCCUUUAAAAUCCUUGGGUAGUCGAACAUUACGCAUGGCUGGGGUGAGACACGGCACCCCUAAAGAACUGAAGACCACACCUGGCUCUAUUGAAGUGGUUGGACGGACCGGAGUAAGCUGACGAGCCGCAUGCUGUGCUGCUAACUCGGCUUCUCGACGUGCUCGACCAUGAUCCACCACAUCCUGCGCAUUAGCACCACCACUUGCCGGGUUAUGCCCUCGCGGCGAGUUACGGUGACGCGCACUGCUCGACACAACCGGUUCAUCGAUAUGCCUGCUGUAACUCCGAUUUGGACGGGGGGUGGAAUGAAUCCUCUCACGGCUAUGUGAAUAAGCCUGCUGCUGGGUUAAAGCCGUUUGAAGGAGCUCUCUGGCCCGUCGUGUCUCAAUUGCCACUAGUGACUCGCUGUCAAUUAGGAGUGCUGCCAAUCGUGAAGCGGCGGCCACAAUAUUAUCCAAUGGGUUGGAGUAAUGACCCGGGGUGUUGGAAUGUGCUGCGACAAGAUGUUGUUCUGAUGAGGCGGGUCCAUCGUGCGCGGCUGAACCGGCGCCCCUGUUACUGGUGCCUCCGUCCGGUUUAUCACUGGUUCGUUACUGGUUCCUGCACCUGGCGUGUUGAAGAGAUUUCUUGGCUCAUAAACCAGCGGAAGGUGCGACCGGUAUCUUCUCCUCAUGACAUCAUCUGAGGCACCCUGAUCCAACCUAAGCCGGUAGGCCUGAGCCUCUAACUCGGCCCGCUCUGUAGCCAUCCUGGCGUUUUCUGCUGUCAGGUCUGCUUUAGCCUGAGUUAUCUGAUCCUUUACUUUUGCCACCUCCGCAUUAUGCUGAUCCUGAUCUGCCGGGUUAACUACGGCUGCCGGCAACGUUGCCAAUGCAUUGAAUAAAUCGGACAAAACUUGAGCCGGCGGGGGUGCAGUCCCUCCUGCCCCAGCCGGUGUUGCUGCUACUGAUCCGGAAACUACUGCUGCUGCAGUAGAUGAGUGAUGUGCUGCUUGUGUUCCGGCCAUGAAGAUUGCAACUCGGCUUGGCGGAUCAAGGGGGUCCGGAAUAUUGUCGCCAUCGGAACCACCACUAAUCCGGCCAUCCUGCAGCUGAUACAGUGACUCAGUUUCUCCGGUUGAAGACUCGUCGUCAGAGCAGACAACGAUUUCUCCUCUAGAUGCCGAUCCAUCCUCAUACUCUGCUCCAUGGAUAACUCCCACAAAGGCGCGCUCUAUAGCGGGCUGAACCGGGGCAGACCUCGCACGCUGAGCCGUCUCGAUGAUGUCGGUGCAGAUGUUCGGCUCAGGGCCCGGUUCGCCGAUCUUGCUGAUGAAGACGUGAAUUCCUCCAAAGGGGACCCGGUACCCGUACUCAAUUGAACCGGCCUCGGGACCCCAUCCUGCAUCGUCGAUGUAGAGCUUGCCGCGACGACUCUUAGUCAUCCGGCCCACAGCGUAUCCCUUGAGUCCUUCGAAGCUGCCCUUCAAGAACUCGAAACCAUCGUGUGAUAGCCCCACGGUGGGUGCCAACUGUCGUGGUUUUGUCACGGCACAUGUUCUCAUGAAAGGACUUAGUCGUGGAGACAUCGCUUAUGGGUUAGCUAAAGGGGUUAAAGCGGACAAGGGAUGCAAGAGUUUAUACUGGUUCGGCCCCUUUCGAUGAAGGUAAAGGCCUAAUCCAGUUGUGAUGGUAUUGCUAGGGUUUCAAUGACCAGGGAGCGAAUCCGCUCUUCCUGGCUCUAGAGUUGUUGUGUGUUUUCCCUAAACCGCCGUCGGGUCGUCCCUUUAUAUACAUAGCUUGAUGCCCGCCGGUUUACAGAGUCCCGAGGCCGGAUCAUCAAUGUGUCCAACUCGGUCUCUAUUCCUCCUAUCUUACCAUACAAGUUACAUGAUAAUGUCGGUUUAAUUCUACAGGCCUUAACCCGCCUUUGGGCCUUGGGCCAUCAUAAAGCACCACCAUCCUUUGUCCUCCUGGGCUUCUAAUCCUCAUAGAGUUAACCCGGCCACUCCUGGCCGGUUUAUGUCCAGUAGUAAUAUCCCCAACACCUCUCGACACGGGCAUGAGCAUGAAAUACCAAUUUCAACUCUUGGAACAUCUUAUAUGCUCCAUGUCAUUCAAAACAUUUUUGAAGUCCCGGUUCUAAGCCAUAAAGCAUGGUGCACUAAAAUAUCAAGUAUUAAUCAUACCGAGCUUGUGAAACGUUCAUAAUGUCUGCAUCUGCUCCUGCAACAGUUCUGUCGCCUAGUGAUGCAUCAAGGAUAUAAUACUUCUGUGCAACAUUGAGGAUAAUCCUCAUAUCAUGGAGCUAGUCUGCAUCAUUGCUACUAACAUCUUUCAACUUAUUUUUUCUCUAGGAACAUAUCAAAAAUAAACGGGGAGCUACAUCGCGAGCUAUUGAUCUACAACAUAGUUAUGCAAAUACUAUCAGGACUAAGUUCAUGAUAAAUUAAAGUUCAAUUAAUCAUAUUACUUAAGAACUCCCACUUAGAUAGACAUCCCUCUAAUCAUCUAAGUGAUCACGUGAUCCAUAUCAACUAAACCAUGUCCGAUCAUCACGUGAGAUGGGGUAGUUUUCAAUGGUGAACAUCACUAUGUUGAUCAUAUCUACUAUAUGAUUCACGCUCGACCUUUCGGUCUCAGUGUUUCGAGGCCAUAUCUACAUAUGCUAGGCUCGUCAAGUUUAACCUGAGUAUUCUGUGUGUGCAAAACUGGCUUGCACCCGUUGUAUGUGAACGUAGAGCUUAUCACACCCGAUCAUCACGUGGUGUCUCGGCACGAUGAACUGUCGCAACGGUGCAUACUCAGGGAGAACAAUUAUACCUUGAAAUUUUAGUAAGGGAUCAUCUCAUAACGCUACCGUCGUACUAAGCAAAAUAAGAUGCAUAAAGGAUAAACAUCACACGCAAUCAAAAUAUGUGGCAUGAUAUGGCCAUCAUCAUGUUGUGCCUUUGAUAUCCAUCUCCAAAGUACCAUCAUGAUCUCCAUCGUUGCCGGCAUGACACCAUGAUCUCCAUCAUCUUGAUCUUUAUCAAUGUGUCGUCACAUGGUCGUCUUGCCAACUAUUGCUUUUGCAACUAUUGCUAUUGCAUAGCGAUAAAGUAAAUCAAUUAUAUGGCCUUGCAUCUGAUGCAAUAAAGAGACAACCAUAAGGCUCCUGCCAGUUGUCGAUAACUUUAACAACACAUGAUCAUCUCAUACAACAAUUCAUAUAUCAUCACGUCUUGACCAUAUCACAUCACUACAUGCCCUGCAAAAACAAGUUAGACGCCCUCUACUUUGUUGUUGCAAGUUUCACGUGGCUACUACGGGCUUAACAAGAACCGUUCUUACCUACGCAUCAAAAACCACAACGCAGUAUAGUGAUUGCUUUUUGAUCUUCAAAAAGAACCAUGUUCAUUGAAUCCGAUUCAACUAAAGUUGGAGAAACAGACACCCACUAGCCACAUGUGUGCGAAGCACGUCGGUAGAACCAGUCUCGCGUAAGCGUACGCAUAAUGUCAGUCUGAGCCGCUUCAUCCAACAAUACCGCUGACUCAAAAAUCAACUAGUGACGGUAAGCAAUAUGUAUAUACCCACGCCCACAACUCCUUUGUGUUCUACCGGUGCAUAUAACUGUUGGGGAACGUAGUAAUUUCAAAAAAAUUCCUACGCACACGCAAGAUCAUGGUGAUGCAUAGCAACGAGAGGGGAGAGUGUUGUCCACGUACCCUCGUAGACCGAAAGCGGAAGCGUUAGCACAACGCGGUUGAUGUAGUCGUACGUCUUCAUGAUCCGACCGAUCCAAGUACCGAACGCACGGCACCUCCGAGUUCAGCACACGUUCAGCUCGAUGACGUCCCGCGAACUCCAACCCAAUAGAGCUUCACGGGAGAGUUCCAUCAGCAUGACAGCGUGGUGACGAUGAUGAUGUUCUACCGUCGCAGGGCUUCGCCUAAGCACCGCUACGAUAUGAUCGAGGUGGAUUAUGGUGGAAGGGGGCACCGCACACGGCUAAGAGAUCAAGAGAUCAAUUGUUGUGUCUAUGGGGUGCCCCUGGCCACGUAUAUAAAGGAGUAGAGGAGGAGGGGGCGGCCAAGAGGAGGAGGCACGCCCAAGGGGGGCAAUCCUACUCCAAGUAGGUUUUGCCCCGCCCCCCCUUUCCUAUUCCAACUAGGAGAAGGCGGAAGGAGGAGAUGGAGAGAAGGAAGGAGAAGGGGCGCCGCGCCCCCUUCCCUUUCCCAAUUCGGAUUGGGGCAAGGGGGCUGCGCGCCACCCCCUGCUGCCUCUCCUCUUCCACUACUUUGGGCCCAUGAGGCCCAAUAACCCCCGGGGGGUUCCGCUAACCCCCCGGUACUCCGGUAUAUAUCCGAUAACCCCCGGAACCAUUCCGGUGUCCGAAUAUAGUCGUCCAAUAUAUCAAUCUUCAUGUCUCGACCAUUUCGAGACUCCUCGUCAUGUCCGUGAUCACAUCUGGGACUCCGAACAACCUUCGGUACAUCAAAAAUCAUAAACUCAUAAUAUAACCGGCAUCGAAACGUUAAGCGUGCAGACCCUACGGGUUCGAGAACUAUGUAGGCAUGACCGAGACAUGUCUCUGGUCAAUAACCAAUAGCGGAACCUAGAUGCUCAUAUUGGCUCCCACAUAUUUUAUGAAGAUCUUUAUCGGUCAGACCGCAUAACAACAUACGUUAUUCCCUUUGUCAUCGGUAUGUUACUUGCCCGAGAUUCGAUCGUCAGUAUCUCAAUACCUAGUUCAAUCUCGUUACCGGCAAGUCUCUUUAUUCAUUCCGUAAUACAUCAUUCCGCAACUAACUCAUUUAGUUGCAAUGCUUGCAAGGCUUAAGUGAUGUGCAUUACCGAGAGGGCCCAGAGAUACCUCUCCGAUAAUCAGAGUGACAAAUCCUAAUCUCGAAAUACGCCAACCCAACAAGUACCUUUGGAGACACCUAUAGAGCACCUUUAUAAUCACCCAGUUACGUUGUGACGUUUGGUAGCACACAAAGUGUUCCUCCGAUAAACGGGAGUUGCAUAAUCUCAUAGUCAUAGGAACAUGUAUAAGUUAUGAAGAAAGCAAUAGCAACAAACUAAACGAUCAAGUGCUAUGCUUACGGAAUGGGUCAAGUCAAUCACAUCAUUCUCUAAUGAUGUAACCCCGUUAAUCAAAUGACAACUCAUGUCUAUGGCUAAGAAACUUAACCAUCUUUGAUUCAACAAGCUAGUGAAGUAGAGGCAUACUAGUGACAUACUGUUUAUCUAUGUAUUCACACAUGUAUUAUGUUUCCGGUUAAUACAAUUCUAGCAUGAAUAAUAAACAUUUAUCAUGAUAUAAGGAAAUAAAUAAUAACUUUAUUAUUGCCUCUAGGGCAUAUUUCCUUCAGUCUCCCACUUGCACUAGAGUCAAUAAUCUAGUUCACAUCGCCAUGUGAUUUAACAUCAAUAGUUCACAUUACCAUGUGAUUAACACCCAUAGUUCACAUCGUCAUGUGACCAACACCCAAAGGGUUUACUAGAGUCAAUAAUCUAGUUCGCAUUGCUAUGUGAUUAAUACCCAAAGAGUACUAAGGUGUGAUCAUGUUUUGCUUGUGAGGCAAGUUUAGUCAACGAGUCCGGCACAUUCAGAUCCGUAUGUAUUUUGCAAAUUUCUAUGUCAACAAUGCUCUGCACGGAGCUACUCUAGCUAAUUGCUCCCACUUUCAAUAUGUAUCCAGACUGAGACUUUGAGUCAUCUGGAUCAGUGUCAAAACUUGCAUCAACGUAACUAUCGGUGUCAAAACCGGCGGAUCUCAGGUAGGGGGUCCCGAACUGUGCGUCUAGGCCGGAUGGUAACAGGAGGCAAGGGACACGAAGUUUUACCCAGGUUUGGGCCCUCUUGAUGGAGGUAAAACCCUAUGUCCUGCUUGAUUAAUAUUGAAGAUAUGGGUAUUACAAGAGUAGAUCUACCACGAGAUCAGAGAGGCUAAACCCUAGAAGCUAGCCUACGGUAUGAUUGUAUGUUGUGAUUGUUGUCCUACGGACUAAAACCCUCCGGUUUAUAUAGACACCGGAGAGGGUUAGGGUUACACAAGGUCGGUUACAAAGGAGGAGAUAUCCAUAUAUGUAUUGCCUAGCUUGCCUUCCACGCCAAGCAGAGUCCCAUCCAGACACGAGACGAAGUCUUCAAUCUUGUAUCUUCAUAGUCUAACAGUCCGGCCAAUGGAGAUAGUCCGGCUGUCCGGAGACCCCCUAAUCCAGGACUCCCACAGUAGCCCCUGAACCAGGCUUCAAUGACGAUGAGUCCGGCGCGCAGUUAUCUUCGGCAUUGCAAGGCGGGUUCCUUCUCCGAAUACAUUACAAAAGAAGUUGAAUACGAGGAUAGUGUCCGACCCUGCAAAAUAAGUCCCACAUUUCACCGUAGAGAGAAUAAUGUUUUUUCGCAGAUCUAAUUUGCUGGCUUGUUUUGCUAAUAUGAUGUUAUGUCAUGGCCCGGUAAUUAUUCGAACCGUUUCUUUUAACCAGCCCCGCACAUAACGCGAGGCAGUUUUUUGACACGUCUUGUCAAAGCAGAGAUCGUGUCCCCUUAUUAUGGGAUUCUCAUCAAUACGGGCGUGGGUAACCCAACUGCGCCAUCAACCGCGGCGCUUGGGGGAUAAGCGAGUUUUACUAUGCAAGUGGGGACGUUUAACUUUGUCUGCCCAUAUAAAGGGAUAAGGAUUCACCUUUCUAUCCAGGCCUUCUUCCUCCUCUGCUCAUCCGCUCCCGCAUACUUGAGCUCUAGCGCCCAAGUCCUCACUUCCAUCUCAACCUUCUCCAACCAUGUCCGGAGUGGGAGGCAAGUGGAUGGUCUCCUCCGUCAUGGAGGGAGACAUCAAGAAACUAAGGAGAGCCGGAUACCUGCACGACGACAUCGCGCACCGGCUCCCAGAUGAGGGACAGCUCAUCCCCACCCCCGAGCCCCAUGAGAGGGUGGUAUUCCUCACCCAUUUCCUCAGCGGACUAGGAUUCCCUCUCCAUCCCUUUGUCCGGGGGCUCAUGUUUUAUUACGGCCUGGAUUUCCAUGAUCUAGCCUGAAAUUUCAUCCUCAACAUCUCGGCGUUUAUCGUCGUGUGCGAGGCCUUCCUCCGCAUCAAGCCCCACUUCGGCUUAUGGCUGAAGACCUUCAAUGUCAAGCCGAAGGUAGUGAGAAGCCGCCAGGCGGAGUGCGGAUGCGCCAUGGUGGGCAAGAUGCCCAACAUCACAUGGCUCGAGGGCACCUUCGUGGACACCAUAAAGGGGUGGCAAUCGGGGUGGUUCUAUAUCACCGAGCCGCGCGACCCCGCAUGGGUAGCGGCCCCCAAGUUCCGAUCCGGCAUCCCCAUGCGGCUCACCUCCUGGAAAGAGAAGGGCCUAUCCUGGGGUAAUUCCAAAGAGUUGACCGGACUCCAGUCAUGUAUUCAGAACAUGGUGGAUAAGAAGCUCAAGCUUGUCAACAUAGUCCAGGUUAUGCUCGUUCGCCGGAUUCUCCCAUGCCAACAACGGGAGUUUACCUUGUGGGAGUUCAAUCCGGCGCAGCACCGAACUCUGAACAGGCUCUUCGACACGACUCAUGAAGAUGCCUGGAGGGUGCUGUUCAAGGGCGCCGCGGUCCCUCCCCCCAUUACUGAGGAUCGCGGGUUCAGCACGAAGCGCCACGCCAGUGCGGUAAGUUGUUUUACCUCUUACAGGAUAUUUGUUUUAUAUAUAUAUAUAUAUAUAUAUAUAUAUAUAUAUAUAUAUAUAUUGGCUCUAUGCGGGAUCUAAACUCCCGUAAUUUUGACAGGACUGGCAGAAGAUGGCCGGACAGAUCGACUGUCCAGCUCCCUUGCCCGAAGGCCCCGCAAACGCUCUUCUGACGAAGAUGCUGACUCCGGCCCCCUAUAAGGUGUCGGAGAAGACCAAGAAGGCCAAGGGAGCUUGAAAGAGUUCCCGACGCCAGGCGUCGUCGGACUCACCGUCCGAUGAUUCUGCGGCGCACUCUUCCCCCGAAGACGAGGAAGAGGAAGAAGAGGCUCCCCCACCGACUGGGGGAGACAAGAAAAGGAAGGCUGCCCCAACUGGGGAGGCCGAAGGGUCCAAGAAGGGAAGGACGCUCCUUCUGGCAGCUCCACCGCCGCCGACGACAGUGAAGACGAGUGGUUGCCUAAGGGCAAGCCCCAGGGGAGAUCGUAAGUGUUCGGAUACCAAAGUAACCCAUAGGAUUCCUUUGUCGCAUUGCUUUCCCUAACGCCGAACUCAAUUGUACAGGCCGCCCCUAGCCAAUAUCGAGGUAUCCUCGGACGGCUCCCUGGCUUCGUCGGACAUGGAUAGUGAUCCAGUCCCGACGGCCACCUCCCCUCAUCCAGCCAACGAUACUGAGGUGCUGUCUCAACAGGCACCGGAUCGAGGGGGGACAGUCCCAGAGGCGCCGCAAGGAGACCUUCCGAACUCCGGGAGCCGAGGGGACGGGGUCCCCGAGAGUUCCGAGUUCGGCCCUCAGCCGAACACCGCGCCGGACCCUCCAACGGCUCCGAGCUCGGGUAGGCGGUCCCCUUCUAAGGAGGGUGAGACGCCUGUGCCGGUGACCUCUGUCCAUCCAGAGGCGCCGGACACUAUGUUGAAAGCGCUUCGCAGCGCUUCCAUCGAGGAGAAGCACCGCACUAUCAUGAGUGCGGUGAUCCAGAAGGUUCAAUCCGCCAAGAGCGGAUUGACUGAAGCCUGUACUAGCCUUCUAACAGGCUUUGAGGUGUUUUAAAAUGUAGUAGAAGUGUUACCGCAUAGACAGUAGCCCCUGAUGCUUUGUUCGGUGUUCACAAAGAAAAGCCGAACAGAGGAUCAAAUAAUAUCGCAGGAGUCUAAUAUAAGUAUGUCAAUAUGCAUAUGCAGGCUUCGCUGCUGGCGUCCGCCGCACUAACUGCGGAGGUCGCCGUACUGAAGGAGGCCCUCGAGGGGUCCAGAAAUAGCUCGGCCUUGCUAAGAGGCAGCUCGAGGAGAACAAGGGUAAGUAAUACCCCGUCUGUAGAUGAGAAAAAGGACGUGAUUGCUAAGAUGACAGGAUCAUUGUAUGUUUGCCAGGGCCACAACCGAGGUGGCGACCCUGAAGCAAGCGAUGUCCCAGGCCGAAGAAAAGGCGGCCCAGGAGCGCACCGAGCGAGAGAGGCACGAGGCUCGGGUGGGCGAGGUGCAGCAAGAGCUCCAGGCUCUCGUGACCAAGCACGAGGCGUUGGAGCUUGACCUGAAGACGAGAGAGUCUGAGCUUGCCGCGGCACGUGAGAGCGCGAAGAGUGCCAAGGCCGAGGCCCAGAAGGCCCUUCAGGAGAUCGACGCGAUGAAGAAGAUAGCGGCGGGUAAGGCUUUCUAUAUGCAAAGCAAGCAUGUAAAGGUGAAUUACCGAUUACUUACCCGAAUCCGGAGCUCUUCAGGAGCAUUCGCAGAUUUGCCCUGCAGUGUGUCCGAUGCCGCACUGUUCUACCAGGCCGAGGACGGAAGCUUGACGGAGAAGUUGUUCUGGUCUCAGUAUGCUGAGGCCGAACAUCCGGUGUCAAUGAGCAACCAGCUGAAGCAGAUGGCCGAGCUACAUAAGGCGGCCGAUCAGGCCAUGAAGGGCUUCAUAGUCCGGUUGUGGCCUGGCGACGCCCUUCCGAACAGCUUCUUCGGCCUGGUGAGGCGGCUUGUGGAUGCCUGCCCACGGCUGGAGGUCGUCAAGCGAUCCGUCUGCAUUGAAGGUGCACGUCGGGCCUUCGCCCGUGUGAAAACGCAAUGUGUCAAGCUAGACGCCGUGAAGCUUAUCAAGGAGGGGCCGCCGGAGGGCAAGGAGCACCGCCACCCCGAGAUGUACUACGAGGGUGUUCUGUCGGGCACCUGUCUUAUCGCGGAUGAGUGUUCACAAAAUGUAAUAUUUGAAUGAGACUUGCUCAUUUUUAUCCUGUGUAAUGAAAACUUGUUUCAUAUGCGCUAUGCAACGCUUGUGUGAAUUUAAAAUAUUACCUUCUGUUUGGUUGUUUAUCCAAUCUGAGAGAUGGCUAGGCCUCGGCUUCUGCCCCCAUGCCACGAGUGCUGGGGUGUUCGGGAUAAACCUGAGCACUCUUGUUCCCAUGUUUGGGUCCUUCGAGGGAGGUGCUCAGCACAACGAACAAGGCAACCGGACUAAUAAUGCUUUAUCACUCUUACUUAGCCAUAGAAUUCUAUAAUUUUAAAUUUCGGCGAAGCCCCUGGUAUUCGGAAGGCCGAAUUCGGGGUGCGAUACACGCCUGUAAGCCGGACGGAGCCGGCCCCUCGCCCUAAGCGGCAUAAGUCUUUAGGGACUCGAAAAAUCUCGCCGAACAGCGACCAGUCUCUCGCCUUAUCCUGACAGUCAGUUUUAGCUUUCUCUACUAAGGUGCUCGGCUCGGCAGAACCGGGGCACAAUCGCGGUAGUUCUCCUAGCGCUACCUUAGCCGAUAGAGCGGAACGUAAGGUACCAAAACAUAGGGGCCGGGCAAACCCAACAUUUGACCAAAGACAUGAUUCGGAGCUGAUGCAUAUAAUGCUAUAAGUUCAGGGUGCCGCACUUGUGAAAGUGUUCAGACUUUUCACACCAUAUGGUGGGUACGUAAGCCCCCGGUGCAUUGGACGUACCAGAGUGUACGGUUGCUAGACGUCAUUAAUGAACACAUAGAUAUGUAUACAUAUAACAAAAAUGCGAUAAUAGUCGUAAUGUCACGCAUUGUAUAUUAAAAAAUUGCAUUAAAGCAGAGUGAUACAGAUAGUGUAAUGAGCAAAAUAGUAGGACUAUGUCCCAUCCAAGGGCGAGCUGAGGAAUUAUGUGAAAUCUGUAAUCCACCUGGGAAUUCCGUAGUCGUCGGCCUCCUUGGUUGCUGUAUCAUGUGUUCGGCAAUAGAGCUGUCGGACAGUGUUUCCAGAGAUUGAAGUCCUGAAAGAAAAAGAAAAAUAACCAAACGGGAAGCCCCUGGUGCGGUUUAGGCCACGUUUUGGGACGUGUCGUAGUUGUGCCUCCCCCUCCCCAUCUGUGCCCAUGGUAUUUUUAAUGCAUAAUGAUGUACGCACGGCACGAACAACGUCGUUGGGCUGGGGUUGGGGUGGCCGCCGUAUUGCUACGUGAGCUCAGAUCAUGCCAGGCGGUCUGUUUGCCGAUUACCCCAAGCGCGCUUGAAGGUGUCCGGGCCUUGAAAUGCCGAACUGGUAGAUUGCCUUGAAAGGCUGCUUUGCGCUUCUGCUGCGAGGGCCGCGGUGUGCUCCUCUGUUCGGAGAGAGCGCUCUGUGUUUCCAUUGACUGUAAUAACUCCGCGAGGUCCUGGCAUCUUGAGCUUGAGGUAUGCAUAAUGUGGUACCGCAUUGAGGGCCAGUUCUUUUGGGCGAUUCUACCAAAAUCGCCCCCUUCUCCAGCUUCUCCCAGAAUCACCACUCCAUAUGUUUUUUACAAUCCUAGAUAAUUAGACCUUAACUAGAUAGGAUUGUAAAAAAAUAUGGAGUGGUGAUUCUGGGAGAAGCUGGAGAGGGGGGCGAUUCUGGGAGAAUCGCCGAAAAGAACUGGCCCUGAAUCUAGCGAAUGCGGUUCAUCCGAGCAGUGCGUGAUAACCACUGCGGAACGGGACUAUAUCAAAGAUUAACUCUUUGCUUCGGAAGUUAUCCGGGGAUCCAAAGACCACUUCCAGUGUAAUUGAGCCUGUGCAGUGGGCCUCUACGCCUGGAAUGACGCCUUUAAAGGUCGUCUUUGUGGGUUUGAUCCUUGAGGGGUCUAUGCCCAUUUUGCGCACUGUGUCCUGAUAAAGUAGGUUUAGGCUACUGUCGCCGUCCAUGAGGACUCGAGUGAGGUGAAAUCCGUCGAUGAUUGGGUCUAGGACCAGUGUGGCGAAUCCGCCGUGACGGAUACUAGUGGGGUGGUCCCUGCGAUCAAAGGUGAUCGGACAGGAGGACCAAGGGUUGAACUUCGGGGCGACUGGCUCCAGCGCAUAUACGUCCCUAAGCGCACGCUUCCGCUCCCUCUUGGGGAUGUGGGUUGCGUAUAUCAUGUUCACCGUCCUCACUUGCGGGGGAAACCUCUUAUGUCCUCCAGUGUGCGGCUACCGGGGUUCUUCCUCGUCAUUGCUAUGUGGCCCCUUGUCCUUGUUUUCAGCAAUUAACUUGCCGACCUGCUUAAACACCCAACAAUCCCUGUUGGUGUGAUUGGCUGGCUUGUCUGGUGUGUCGUGUAUUUUACACGAGCGAUCGAGUAUACGGUCCAAGCUGGACGGACCCGGCGUACUUUGUUUGAAUGGCUUUUUCCGCUGACCGGGUUUAGAGCCUUUGAAUCCGACAUUGACUGUCGUAUCCUCAGUACUUUCGCCGUUAAUGCGGCGCUUAUGUUUGUUGCGAUGUGACCUGCUGUUGCCAUCCUUGGUAUCUGAGGUACCAUGGUUCUUUGAUAUGUUGUUACUGCGAGCCAACCAGUUGUCUUCUCCAGCACAAAAGCGGGUCAUGAGCGUCGUGAGGGAUGCCAUAGAUUUCGGCUUUUCCUGACCAAGGUGCCGGGCUAACCACUCGUCUCGGAUGUUGUGCUUGAAAGCCGCUAAGGCCUCCGCAUCUGGACAGUCGACGAUUUGGUUUUUCUUUGUAAGGAACCGGGUCCAGAAUUGCCUGGCCGACUCUUCUGGCUGCUGAAUUAUGUGGCUCAAGUCAUCGGCGUCUGGUGGUCGCACAUAAGUGCCCUGAAAGUUGUCGAGGAAUGCGGCUUCCAGAUCUUCCCAACAGCUAAUGGAGUCCGCUGGCAAGCUAUUAAGCCAAUGUCGUGCUGGUCCUUUGAGUUUUAGUGGGAGGUACUUGAUGGCAUGUAAGUCAUCACCGCGGGCCAUGUGGAUGUGGAGGAGGAAGUCCUCAAUCCAUACCGCGGGAUCUGUUGUGUCGUCGUAUGAUUCAAUGUUUACAGGUUUGAAACCUUCUGGGAAUUGAUGUUCCAUUACUUCGUCUGUGAAGCAUAAGGGUGUGCGGCGCCUCUGUAUUGGGCUAUAUCGCGAUGCAGCUCGUAUGGAUCCUGCUCGCUGUGUUCGGCCCGGCCGGAUUUGCUUUUACUGUAUCCGGCGUGACGUUUACCGUCUCGUAGAGUGGUGCGCCCUCAUGAUCUGUAGAUCGAUCUUGAGUGCUUUGCUUUGUCCUCCAAUAUGUCUCGCAGGUCUGGCGUAUCUCCCCAUGCCUUUUUAUUUGAAUGGCGUUGGGGUGGAGGCUGAGCUUUCGGCAUGAAUGCCUCUCUAUCGCGGCCACGCGGUGGCCGAUCAGCCGUAUCAUAUGCUUCUUCCUCCAGUCGGGGUAGUAACAUGCGCCUUGGGUAACUCUUGGAGGGACGCUCGAGUUUAUAUUCCUCGGCUGCGAGGACUUCAGUCCAUUUGUCAGCUAGCAGAUCUUGAUCAGCUUGAAGCUGCUGCUACUUUUUCUUUAGGCUAUUUGUCGUGGCCAUAAGCCUGCGCUUGAAGCGCUCUUGUUCGACGGGAUCCUCUGGUACGGCGAAUUCAUCAUCGCCGAGGCUUGCCUCGUCUUCGGAGGGGGGCAUGUAAUUGUCAUCCUCCUCCUCUCCGCCGGCUGCUCUCUCAGGAGAGCUGGCUCCUUCAUCCUCCUGAUCUAACUCUUGCUGGAGGGAGUUUUCGUUGUCUUCGGCGCUAUCCGGAGUGUUAUUAUCUCUUGUGCCGGUAUCACCACUUUUGCUUUGGCGGGACUUAUAGCGGCGCCGUUGACGUCGGCGCUUGGGUUGUUUCUUGGAGGGGUCAUCCUCCGCUAUCUCGUCGCCGUUGCCUUCAUUGGGUGUAUCCACCAUGUAUAUGUCAUACGACAAGGUGGCUUUCCAGUGCCCUAUAGGUGUUGGUUCAUGUUCGUCUCCUACAUCGUCGUCCAUACCAUCGAUGUCUUCGGAGUCGAAGUCGAGCAUGUCGGUUAAAUCAUCGACAGUGGCUACAAAGUGGGUGGUGGGUGGGCGUCGAAUUUCUUCGUCGUCCACAUCCCAGUCAUGUUGGCCAUAAUCCGGCCAGGGCUCUCCUGUCAAAGAGAGAGACCUUAGUGAAUUCACAAUGUCGCCGAAGGGAGGGUGCUGAAAGAUAUCCGCGGCGGUGAAUUCCAUGAUCGGCGCCACUCGGAUUCAAUUGGCAGGGGCGCGGAUGGUUGGGGUCCGGAGGAGAGUCCGGCACCUUGGAGUCACGGGUUGCGCAGAGGAUUAUGCUGGUGUUCGGCACGAUCGUCGUUGAGACUGCAGCCCCUGAGGCGGUGUCUAGCCACUCGUCCUCGAUUGGCGCAGUUGGCUCCGAGCUAAGGGUCUGAGCUGGUGUGGGCGCAGUCUCUGGAGUACUGUCCGGUGGCAGAGCUAGGUCAUGCCCAUCGAGAUAGUGCGGCGCACCCGGCUGUGGCUCGAAUCCAUCGAAGAUCAAGUCUUCGCGGAUGUCGGCCGUGUAGUUCAAACUUCCAAAUCUGACCUGAUGGCCAGGGGCGUAGCUUUCAAUCUGCUCCAGAUGGCCGAGCGAAUUAGCCCGCAGUGCAAAGCCGUCGAAUACGAAGAUCUGUCCGGAGAGAAAAGUCUCACCCUGGACCGCAUUGCUAUCGAUGAUAGUAGGAGCCAUCAGGCCUAACGGCGACGACAUAGAGGAACUCUCAAUGAAAGCACCAAUGUCGGUGUCAAAACCGGCGGAUCUCGGGUAGGGGGUCCCGAACUAUGCGUCUAGGCCGGAUGGUAAUAGGAGGCAAGGGACACGAAGUUUUACCCAGGUUCGAGCCCUCUUGAUGGAGGUAAAACCCUACGUCCUGCUUGAUUAAUAUUGAAGAUAUGGGUAUUACAAGAGUAGAUCUACCACGAGAUCAGAGAGGCUAAACCCUAGAAGCUAGCCUACGGUAUGAUUGUAUGUUGUGAUUGUCAUCCUACAGACUAAAACCCUCCGAUUUAUAUAGACACCGGAGAGGGUUAGGGUUACACAAGGUCGGUUACAAAGGAGGAGAUAUCCAUAUACGUAUUGCCUAGCUUGCCUUCCACGCCAAGUAGAGUCCCAUCCGGACACGAGACGAAGUCUUCAAUCUUGUAUCUUCAUAGUCUAACAGUCCGGCCAAUGGAGAUAGUUCGGCUAUCCGGAGACCCCCUAAUCCAGGACUCCCACAGUAACCCUUUACGACGAACCUUUUGUCACCUCCAUAAUCGAGAAACAUAUCCUUAUUCCACUAAGGAUAAUUUUGACCAAUGUCCAGUGAUCUACUCCUAGAUCACUAUUGUACUUCCUUGCCAAACACAGGGCAGGGUAUACAAUAGGUCUGGUACACAGCAUGGCAUACUUUAUAGAACCUAUGGCUGAGGCAUAGGGAAUGACUUUCAUUCUCUCUCUAUCUUCUGCCGUGGUCGGGUUUUGAGUCUUACUCAACUUCACACCAUGUAACAAAAGCAAGAACUCCUUCUUUGAUUGUUCCAUUUUGAACUACUUCAAAAUCUUGUCAAGGUAUGUACUCAUUGAAAAACUUAUCAAGCGUCUUGAUCUAUCUCUAUAGAUCUUGAUGCUCAAUAUGUAAGCAGCUUCACCGAGGUCUUUCUUUGAAAAACUCCUUUCAAACAUUCCUUUAUGCUUUGCAGAAUGAUUCUACAUUAUCUCUGAUCAACAAUAUGUCAUUCACAUAUACUUAUCAGAAAUGUUGUAGUGCUCCCGCUCACUUUCUUGUAAAUACAGGCUUCACCGCAAGUCUGUAUAAAACUAUAUGAUUUGGUCAACUUAUCAAAGCGUAUAUUCCAACUCCAAGAUGCUUGCACCAGUCCAUAGAUGGAUCGCUGGAGCUUGCAUAUUUUGUUAGCACCUUUAGGAUUGACAAAACUUUCUUGUUGCAUCAUAUACAUCUCUUCUUUAAUAAAUCCAUUAAGGAAUGUAGUUUUGUUUAUCCAUUUGCCAGAUUUCAUAAAAUGUGGCAAUUGCUAACAUGAUUCGGACAGACUUAAGCAUAGAUAUGAGUGAGAAACUCUCAACGUAGUCAACACCUUGAAUUUGUCGAAAACCUUUUGCGACAAUUCUAGCUUUGUAGAUAGUAACACUAUUAUCAUCGUCCAUCUUCCACUUGAUGAUCCAUUUAAUCUCAAUGGCUCGUCAAUCAAUGGGCAAGUCAAUCAAAGUCCAUACUUUGUUCUCAUACAUGGAUCUCAUAUCAGAUUUCAUGGCCUCAAGCCAUCUUGCGGAAUAUGGGCUCAUCAUCGCUUCCUCAUAGUUCGUAGGUUCGUCAUGGUCAAGUAACAUGACCUCCAGAACAGGAUUACCGUACCACCCUGGUGCGGAUCUCACUCUAGUUUACCUACGAGGUUUGGUAGUAACUUGAUCUGAAGUUACAUGAUCAUCAUCAUUAGCUUCCUCACUAAUUGGUGUAGUAGUCACAGGAAAAGAUUUCUAUGAUGAACUACUUUCCAAUAAGGGAGCAGGUACAGUUACCUCAUCAAGUUCUACUUUCCUCCCACUCACUUCUUUCGAGAGAAACUCCUUCUCUAGAAAGGAUCCAUUCUUAGCAACAAAUAUCUUGCCUUCGGAUCUGUGAUAGAAGGUGUACCCAACAGUUACUUUUUGGUAUCCUAUGAAGAUGCACUUCUCCGACUUGGGUUUGAGCUUAUCAAGAUGAAACUUUUUCACAUAAGCAUUGCAUCCCCAAACUUUAAGAAACGACAGCUUAGGUUUCUUGCCAAACCAUAGUUCAUACGGUGUCGUCUCAAUAGAUUUAGAUGGUGCCCAAUUUAAUGUGAAUGUAGCUGUCUCUAAUGCAUAACCCCAGAACGAUAGUGGUAAAUCGGUAAGAGACAUCAUAGAUCACACCAUAUCUAAUAAAUUACGGUUACGAUGUUCGGACACACCAUUACACUGUGGUGUUCCAGGUGGCGUGAGUAGUGAAACUAUUUCACAUUAUUUUAACUGAAGGCCAAACUCGUAACUCAAAUAUUUUACUUCUGCGAUCAUAUCAUAGAAACUUUUAUUUUUGUUACGAUGAUUCUCCACUUACCUCUGAAAUUCUUUGAACUUCUCAAAUGUUUCAGACUUGUGUUUCAUCAAGUAGAUAUACUCAUAUCUGCUCAAAUCAUCUGUGAAGAUCAGAAAAUAAUUAUACCUGCCGCGAGCCUCAAUAUUCAUCGGACCACAUACAUCAGUAUGUAUGAUUUCCAACAAAUAUGUUGCUCGCUCCAUUGUUCCGGAGAACGGAGUCUUAGUCAUCUUGCCCAUGAGGUAUGGUUCGCAAGCAUCAACUGAUUCAUAAUCAAGUGAUUCCAAAAGUCCAUCGGCAUGGAUUUUCUUCAUGCGCUUUGCACCAAUAUGACCUAACCGGCAGUGCCACAAAUAAGUUGCACUAUCAUUAUUAACUUUGAAUCUUUUGGCUUCAAUAUUAUAAAAAUGUGUAUCACCACGAUCGAGAUCCAACAAACCAUUUUCAUUGGGUGUAUGACCAUAGAAGGUUUUAUUCAUGUAAACAGAACAACAAUUAUUCUCUAACUUACAUGAAUAACAGUAUUGCAAUAAACAUGACCCAGUCAUAUUCAUGCUCAACGCAAACAUUAAAUAACAUUUAUUUUAGGUUUAACACUAAUCCCGAAAGUAUAGGGAGUGUGCGAUGAUGAUCAUAUCAAUCUUGGAACCAUUUCCAAUACACCUCGUCACUUCACCCUUAACUAAUCUCUGUUCAUUCUGCAACUCCCAUUUCGAGUUACUAUUCUUAGUAACUGAACUAGUAUCAAAUACUAAGGGGUUGCUAUAAACAUUAGUAAAGUACACAUCAAUAACAUGUAUAUAAAAUAUACCUAUGUUUACUUUGCCAUCCUUCUUAUUCGCCAAUUACUUGGGGUAGUUCCGCUUCCAAUGACCAGUCCCUUUGUAGUAGAAGCACUCAGUUUCAGGCUUAGGUCCAGACUUGGGUUUUUUUCACUUGAGCAGCAACUUGUUUGACGUUCUUCUUGAAGUUCCCCUUUCUUCCCUUUGUCCCUUUACUUGAAACUAGUGGUUUUACCAUCAACACUUGAUGUUUUUCUUGAUUUCUACCUUCGUCGAUUUCAGCAUCACGAAGAGCUUGGGAAUCGUUUCCGUUAUCCCUUGCAUAUUAUAGUUCAUCACGAAGUUCUACUAACUUGGUGAUGGUGACUAGAGAAUUCUGUCAAUCACUAUUUUAUCUGGAAGAUUAACUCCCACUUAAUUCAAGCGAUUGUAGUACCCAAACAAUCUGAGCACAUGCUCACUGCUUGAGCUAUUCUCCUCCAUCUUUUAGCUAUAGAACUUGUUGGAGACUUCAUAUCUCUCAACUCGGGUAUUUACUUGAAAUAUUAACUUCAACUCCUGGAACAUCUCAUAUGGUCCAUGACGUUCAAAACGUCUUUGAAGUCCCGAUUCUAAGCCGUUUAAGCAUGGUGCACUAAACUAUCAAGUAGUCAUCAUAUUGAGCUAGCCAAACGUUCAUAACAUCUGCAUCUGCUCCUGCAAUAGGUUUGUCACCUAGCGGUGCAUCAAGGACAUAAUUCUUCUCUGCAGCAAUGAGGAUAAACCUCAGAUCACGGAUCCAAUCGCAUAAUUACUACUAACAUCUUUCAACUGAGUUUUCUCUAGGAACAUAUCAAAAAAUAGGGGAUCUAAACGCGAGCUAUUGAUCUACAACAUAGAUAUGCUAAUACUACCAGGACUAAGUUCAUGAUAAAUUUAAGUUCAAUUAAUCAUAUUACUUAAGAACUCCCACUUAGAAAGACAUCCCUCUAAUCUUCUAAGUGAUCACGUGAUCCAAAUCAACUAAACCAUAACCGAUCAUCACGUGAAAUGGAGUAGUUUUCAAUGGUGAACAUCACUAUGUUGAUCAUACCUACUAUAUGAUUCACGCUCGACCUUUCGGUCUCAGUGUUCGAGGCCAUAUCUGCAUAUGCUAGGCUCGUCAAGUUUAACCUGAGUAUUCUGCGUGUGCAAAACUGGCUUGCACCCGUUGUAGAUGGACGUAGAGCUUAUCACACCCGAUCAUCACGUGGUGUCUGGGCACGACGAACUUUGGCAACGGUGCAUACUCAGGGAGAACACUUUUAUCUUGAAAUUUAGUGAGAGAUCAUCUUAUAAUGCUACCGUCAUAACUAAGCAAAGUAAGAUGUAUAAAAGAUAAACAUCACAUGCAAUCAUAAUAUGUGACAUGAUAUGGCCAUCAUCAUCUUGUGCCUUUGAUCUCCAUCUCCAAAGCAUCGUCAUGAUCUCCAUCGCCACCGGCAUGACACCAUGAUCUCCAUCAUCUUGAUCUAUAUCAAUGUGUCGUCACAUGGUCGUCUCACCAACUAUUGCUCUUGCAACUAUUGCUAUCGCAUAGCAAUAAAGAAAGCAAUUAUUUGGUGCUUGCAUCUUAUGCAAUAGAGAAAGACAACCAUAAGGCUUUUGCCAGUUGCCGAUAUCUUUAAGAAAACAUGAUCAUCUCAUACAACAACUUAUAUCUCAUCACGUCUUGACCAUAUCACAUCACAACAUGCUCUGCAAAAACAAGUUAGACAUCCUCUACUUUGUUGUUGCAAGUUUUACGCGGCUGCUACGGGCUUAGCAAGAACCGUUCUUACCUACGCAUCAAAACCACAACGAUAGUUUGUCAAGUUGGUGUUGUUUUAACCUUCUCAAGGACCGGGCGUAGCCACACUCGGUUCAACUAAAGUUGGAGAAACUGACACCCGCUAGUCACCUGUGUGCAUAGCACAGCGGUAAAACCAGUCUCGCGUAAGCGUACGCGUAAGCGUACGCGUAAUGUCGGUCCGGGCCACUUCAUCCAACAAUACCACCGAACCAAAGUGUGACAUGCUGGUAAGCAGUAUGACUUAUAUCGCCCACAACUCACUUGUGUUCUACUCGUGCAUAUUACAUCAACGCAUAAAACCUGGCUUGGAUGCCACUGUUGGGGAACGUAGUAAUUUCAAAAAAAAUCCUAUGCACACGCAAGAUCAUGGUGAUGCAUAGCAACGAGAGGGGAGAGUGUUGUCCACGUACCCUCGAAGACCGAAAGCGGAAGCGUUAGCACAACGCGGUUGAUGUAGUCGUACGUCUUCACGAUCCGACCGAUCCAAGUACUGAACGCACGGCACCUCCGAGUUCAGCACACGUUCAGCUCGAUGACGUCCCGCAAACUCCAAUCCAGUAGAGCUUCACGGGAGAGUUCCGUCAGCACGACGACGUGGUGAUGAUGAUGAUGUUCUAUUGUCGCAGGGCUUCGCCUAAGCAUCGCUACGAUAUGAUCGAGGUGGAUUAUGGUGGAAGGGGGCACCGCACACGGCUAAGAGAUCAAGAGAUCAAUUGUUGUGUCUAUGGGGUGCCCCCUGGCCACGUAUAUAAAGGAGUGGAGGAGGAGGGGGCCGGCCAAGAGGAGGAAGUGCGCCAAAGGGGGGCAAUCCUACUCCAAGUAGGUUUUGCCCCCCCCCCCCACCCCUUCCUAUUCCAACUAGGAGAAGGGGGAAGGAGGAGGUGGAGAGAAGGAAGGAGAAGGGGGCCGCGCCCCCUUCCCUUUCCCAAUUUGGAUUGGGGCAAGGGGGGCUGCGCGCCACCUCCUGCUGCCUCUCCUCUUCCACUACUUUGGGCCCAUGAGGCCCAAUAACCCCCGGGGGGUUCGGGUAACCCCCCGGUACUCCGGUAUAUAUCCGAUAACCCCCGAAACCAUUCUGGUGUCCGAAUAUAGUCGUCCAAUAUAUCAAUCUUCAUGUCUCGACCAUUUCGAGACUCCUCGUCAUGUUUGUGAUCACAUCCGGGACUCCGAACAACCUUCGUUACAUCAAAACUCAUAAACUCAUAAUAUAACCGGCAUCGAAACGUUAAGCGUGCGGACCCUACGGGUUCGAGAACUAUGUAGACAUGACCGAGACAUGUCUCCGGUCAAUAACCAAUAGAGGAACCUGGAUGCUCAUAUUGGCUCCCACAUAUUCUACGAAGAUCUUUAUCGGUCAGACCGCAUAACAACAUACGUUGUUCCCUUUGUCAUCGGUAUGUUACUUGCCCGAGAUGCGAUCGUCGGUAUCUCAAUACCUAGUUCAAUCUCGUUAUCGGCAAGUCUCUUUACUCGUUCUGUAAUACAUCAUUCCACAACUAACUCAUUUAGUUGCAAUGCUUGCAAGGCUUAAGUGAUGUGCAUUACCGAGAGGGCCCAGAGAUACCUCUCCGACAAUCUGAGUGACAAAUCCUAAUCUCGAAAUACGCCAACCCAACAAGUACCUUUGGAAACACCUGUAGAGCACAUUUAUAAUCACCCAGUUAUGUUGUGACGUUUGGUAGCACAUAAAGUGUUCCUCCGGUAAACGGGAGUUGCAUAAUCUCAUAGUCAUAGGAACAUGUAUAAGUUAUGAAGAAAGCAAUAGCAACAAACUAAACGAUCAAGUGCUAUGCUUACGGAAUGGGUCAAGUCAAUCACAUCAUUCUCUAAUGAUGUAACCCCGUUAAUCAAAUGACAACUCAUGUCUAUGGCUAGGAAACUUAACCAUCUUUGAUUCAACGAGCUAGUCAAGUAGAGGCAUACUAGUGACAUACUGUUUGUCUAUGUAUUCACACAUGUAUUAUGUUUUCGGUUAAUACAAUUCUAGCAUGAAUAAUAAACAUUUAUCAUGAUAUAAGGAAAUAAAUAAUAACUUUAUUAUUGCCUCUAGGGUAUAUUUCCUUCAAUAACAUCUACGCAUAGACCUGGCUCGGAUGCCAUUGUUGGGGAACGUAGUAAUUUCAAAAAAUUCCUACACACACGCAAGAUGUAUCAUGGUGAUGCAUAACAACGAGAGGGAAGAGUGUCGUCCACGUACCCUCCUAGAUCGUAAGCGGAAGCGUUAUGACAACGCGGUUGAUGUAGUCGUACGUCUUCACGAUCCGACCGAUCCUAGUACCGAAAGUAUGGCACCUCCGUGAUCUGCACACGUUCGGCUCGGUGACGUCCCACAAACUCUCGAUCCAGCUGAGUGUCGAGGGAGAGCUUCGUCAGCACGACGGCAUGACGAUGGUGAUGAUGAAGUUACCGUCGCAGGGCUUCGCCUAAGCACUACGAUGAUAUGACUGUGGAGGGGGGCACCGCACACGGCUAAGGGAUCAAUGAUCAACUUGGGUGUCCUAGGAUGCCCCCCUGCCCCGUAUAUAAAGGAGCAAGGGGGAGGCCGGCCGGCCCUUGGGGCGCGCCAGGAGAGGAGGAAUCCUCCUCCUAAUAGGAGUAGGACUCCCCUUUCCUAGUCCUACUAGGAGGAGGAAGGGGGAGGAAGGAGAGGAGAAGGGAGAAGGAAAGGGGGCACCCCCCCCUUCCCUAGUCCAAUUCGGACUAGAGGGGGAGGGGCGCGCGGCCCUGCCUUGGCCGGCCCUCUCUCUCUCUCCACUAAGGCCCAUGUUGGCCCAUUAGAUCCCCCGGGGGUUCCGAUAACCCUCCGGCACUCCGAUAAUUAUCCGGUAACCCCCGGAACUCAUCCGGUGUCCGAAUAUGGUCAUCCAAUAUAUCAAUCUUUAUGUCUCGACCAUUUCGAGACUCCUCGUCAUGUCCUUGAUCAUAUCCGGGACUCUGAACAAUCUUCGAUACAUCAAAACACAUAAACUCAUAAUACCGAUCGUCACCGAACGUUAAGCGUGCGGAUCCUACGGGUUCGAGAACUAUGUAUACAUGACCGAGAUACGUCUCCGUCCAAUAACCAAUAGCGAAACCUGGAUGCUCAUAUUGGCUCCUACAUAUUCUACGAAGAUCUUUAUCGGUCAAACCGCAUAACAAUAUACGUUGUUCCCUUUGUCAUCGGUGUGUUACUUGCCCGAGAUUCGAUCGUCGGUAUCUCAAUACUUAGUUCAAUCUCGUUACCGGCAAGUCUCUUUACUCGUUCCGUAAUGCAACAUCCCGUAACUAACUCAUUAGUCACAUUGCUUGCAAGGCUUAUAGUGAUGUGCAUUACCGAGAGGGCCCAGAGAUACGUCUCCGGUACACGGAGUGACAAACCCUAAUCUCGAUCUAUACCAACUCAACAAACACCAUCGGAGACACCUGUAGAGCAUCUUUAUAGUCACCCAGUUACGUUGUGACGUUUGAUAGCACACUAAGUGUUUCUCCAGUAUUCGGGAGUUACAUAAUCUCAUAGUCAUAGGAACAUGUAUAAGUUAUGAAAAAAGCAAUAGCAAUAAAUUAAACGAUCAUCGUGCUAAGCUAACGGAUGGGUCAAGUCAAUCACAUCAUUCUCUAAUGACGUGAUCCCGUUAAUCAAAUGACAACUCUUUGUCCAUGGCUAGGAAACUUAACCAUCUUUGAUUAACGAGCUAGUCAAGUAGAGGCAUACUAGUGACACUCAGUUUGUCUAUGUAUUCACACAUGUACUAAUUUUUCGGUUAAUACAAUUCUAGCAUGAAUAAUAAACAUUUAUCAUGAUAUAAGGAAAUAUAAGUAACAAUUUUAUUAUUGCCUCUAGGGCAUAUUUCCUUCACUUCAGCGCUCGCCGGUGCUUGCUAGGCUUGCCGAAGGCAACAGCCCUCCAGUGAACUUUACUGUCAACGGCCACAACUACGACAAAGGAUACUACUUGGGUGACGGUAUCUAUCCUCAGUGGACCACUAUUGUGAAGACAAUACCCAACCCUGUUGGAGAGAAUAGGAAAACAUUUUCCCAAGAGCAAGAGAGUGCUAGGAAGGAUGUCGAGCGUGCCCUUUGGUGUUUUGCAAUUCGAUGGGGCAUCGUUCGGUAUCCUGCUAAAACCUGGAGCACGCAGAAACUGUGGGAGGUGAUGACUGCUUGUGUGAUCAUGCAUAAUAUGAUCGUAGAAGACGAGUGCCCGGAACGUCUGUACAAUCAAGGGUUUCAGUUUCAGGGUGAGCAUGGAGUAGCGGCAACAUUUGAACAGUUCACCCAAUUUCAUGAAGACAUGCGUGAUUGGGAAACUCAUGUGCAGUUGUAAAAUGACUUGGUUGAGCAUAUGUGGGCUCAUGUUGGCAACCAAUAGAUGUAUCUUCUUUUAUUCGUUUGCAAAACUAUGUGAAACAUUUUUAUUUGUAUCCGGCUUGUAAAACUAUACUAUUUUAUUCGAUAAACUAUGUUAUUUGACAAUAUGUUUGAAUGCAAAUUAAUAUAAUAUUGAGCGGCUAGCCGGCCACGCCGGCACAUAUGGGUCGGCGCGUUGGGCGCGCUGCCGAUCCAAAUCUAAAAGAGGGCGGACGGCCGACCCAAACGGAUAAAAUGCGGACGAAAUUGGCGUCCGUUUGGGUCGGCCCGUUGGAGUUGCUCUUAGGUGCGUUAGGGCGUAGUGCGGCGGUGUACUUGGUUUCUCCUGUAUUAUUGUCCGGUAGUAUUCGUGCUCCGGUUAUCUUGGGGUCGGCAUUAAUUGUAGAGGAGCCGCCUCGCCAUCUUCUAUCGCCCGGCCGUGUACUUUGUUGAAUGGUGCUUUAUAUAUAAAACAGGACGGAAGCCUGUUUCGACGAGGAGUAUGUAGAGAGAACCCCUCAAAAACAAAAACAAAACUUAUCUAGAGAGGGAAAAAAAUGCUGCACGCGGUUGUAGUCCAUUGACUUUUCACUUCGAAGUUAUGCAUGCAUGCAUCCGUAGUUCUUCCAUCGGCUUAGCUGGUUUACCUUUAUGCUUACGUGCUUUGCUGAUAAGAAAAUCCAAUUGUCCUACAUCGUUGACCCUGCUGGCCGUGCUCUCCGGCGCGCCAUCAGCUUGCCCAGCAUGCUAGCCGCCUAGCCUACAAAAGGGCACCACCCACCGCCGGCGUAACAUCAACUGAAACCAGCAACACCCAGACCCCUGCUUAACCAAUUAGCUUCGAGAUAAGCUCGCAGCCAUGGCGCGGUGGCCAGCCGCCGUGGCGGCGUGUGCGCUCGGGGCGGCCCUCCUGGGCAUGCUGAUGGUCACCGCGGACGGGAGAGGCAGCAACACCAACAGCAAGUUCACGUGCACGGACACGGAGAAGAAGCGGCCGGGGUGCACGGGCACCUGCCCCGACAGGUGCCCCCAGAGCUGCAUCUCGCUCUGCCCCUCGUGCCAGACAUAUUGCCGUACAUACUCAGCCGCCAUUACUUUCAUGAUGAACUGCUACUGUUCUUGGCCUAGCUUUUAAGGUGCCUCCUGUGCAUGUAGCUGACCAGGUGCAGCCAGUGCGGCCAGCAUUGUUUGUGUUCGGGGACGGGUUUACGGACGUCGGCAACAACAACUACCUAGAGAACAACGAAGUAGGGAACCCUGUCAGAGCCAAUCACUCUUACUAUGGCAUAGAUUUCCCCAAUUCCGUGGCCACCGGAAGGUUUAGCAAUGGAUUCAACUUGGCUGACUUCAUCGGUAUGCUAAGUUGCUAACUUUGAUCCCAUCACGCUAUGCCUAUUUUUCAUAAUUUGCUUACCGUUCAAGACAACUGACAUGGCCACUUGUGCACUGCACAAUUAUCUACUUGUUCUAACAUUAUUACUCAACCAACAACCAUUGUUUGCCAACAGGUUUCCAUUUAAUAUACUCUUAUUUUCUCAUGUAGUAUAGCCUUAAUUUGUUUUACUUUCCCGCAAAAGAAAUUGUUUUACUUUACCGACAUGGUGGCUAGCAGUUGAAAAUCAGUACUCAAAGAUAUGGGUGUGGCUAGGUGCCUAGGUCUCAGUGAGUGAGAUUAACCAAGUCUCAGUCAAGUGACAUAAUAUCAAGAGAGAAAAAGAAAAUAUUGCACGAAUCUUAAUGUAAGAUCUCACGGAUAUAGCAUCGACUGAGACUUAACGAAGUCUCAGUCAACUGAGACUUAGCAAGACUGGAAAGAUAUAUAGCAGAGUAUAUAACACCGAAUUCUAUGUGCUAUCAGCUGCCAAGAUGUAACUAAAAUAUGAAAUUUAACCAAACAAUUACAUGGGCAUAAAAAUUCCAUUCCGGUUUGACUACUACUGAAUACCAUCUUUAUUUCAAUUUAUAAGGCAUAUAACUUUUCUUGUCUUAUUUCAUAUGAUAGGAUGUGUGCAUGUGAAUUUAUCGAUGUUUCUCCUUGUUCACUAGAAUCCUAGCAAUCGCAUAUUCUGCGCUGUUCUAUGUAUAUAAGCAUGGCUAGUUUCUAUUUUCUUUGUUUUGGUUUCAUUAGCAUUUUUAAGUUUUAUGCCGGCUCAAAACAUGCAUUACAGUCUGAACUGGAUGGAACAGUAUAUAAUUCAUGAAAAAUCAGGAAGAAUAUCAAUCCUUUUAGAACGAAUGGAUAUAUUAUCUAAGCUGUUCUGUUUUUGAAAGAAUAUUGAUCAACCGGUGGUGGGUAUACCUUUGAUUAAUAUGCAGCAAAGGCUAUGGGGUUCGAGAUGAGCCCUCCGGCUUAUCUGUCUCUUGAUAGUCCCAUAAAAAUGGAGGCUGGUUUUGCUGGAGUCAACUAUGCUUCGGCGACCUCUGGGAUUUGGAGAGACAUCGUAAGUGGACACCUUCAUGCAUGGACGAGUAUUUGAAUUUGCAUGCAUAUUAUUUCAGGAAUGCAUGUGCGUUCAUCGUCAACAUACCUUCAGCUAUCAUACAUCCAUAGAUAUAUCAGUACUAUGUCCAGGAAUAUGUAAAAACAAAAUAAUUGGUAUGGAUAUAUUUAGUUCUUAGACAUGAACUACAAUUAGUCGCAUUGAUGCUAAUACCAUUUUGCAGGACACCGGACUGGACAUCCCACUGAUGGACCAAGUGAAGAACUUGGCGGACACGAUAGGGCAGAUGGGCGCCAACCGUAGCCAGCAAGACCUGAGCAAGAUGUUGUCCAAUUCCCUCUUCCUCAUCAGCACCGGCACCACUGACCUCUACUCAAUCUACAACAUCAACAACAAUGGGGGCUCAGACAGCAAAACCGAUGUCCCACACCUCAUCUCCUCCUACGGGGACAGCCUCACGGCCCUGUACAACUUGGGCGCGAGGAAGUUCGGGAUCAUCAACGUCCCGACCUUGUGCACGGCGAUGGUGCGCCAUGGCUGCGAGGGCCUCAUUACCAGCCUCCGCGAGGAGUUCAACGACGGCAUCAAGCCACUCAUGGCCGGCCUCGCCUCCAACCUCAGUGGCCUCCGCUACUCCAUCGCCGACUUCCACGCCUUCUCGGAUGCAGUCAACACGAAUCCGUCGGCCUAGGGUAAAAUCUAUCAAUGUUUUCAGAUAUUCUUACAUGGUCAUGAACCUGUCGGUUAUAUUUAUGUGGUUGUUCUGGUUGUUGUGGUUUGUUGAUGGAUGCACAGGGUUUGUGAACACCGGGGGCGCAUGCUGCCAAGGCUCCUGCGCACCUGGUUCUGGGCUGCCGUGUGCCAACCGAUCGCAGUACUGGUAUUGGGACGAGGAGUACCCGACAGAGCAGGCCGCUAAGCUGGCCGCAUCUGCGUUUUUCGACGGCACAACCCAAUUCACAACACCGAUGAGCUUCAAGACGUUGAUCAGCCAAAAAGUGACAUUUCUUUAUGUUUUCGACUUGCCGUAUCCAGAAAUAAAGCAAGUCAUCUGUGUGAGACUUACAUUGCCAUUUGCCUUUGAGUUCUUUUUUUUUCUAAUGUGCCGCUUUGUGUUGCUCGUAGCAUUCACUGGCACAGUGGCACGUUGUGUUUUAUCACCGUCUAUUGAUAUUUUCUUUUUUGACGAAAAAAUAGCGGGAGGGUGGCUGAACGUUGGCGUAGAUGGGAUUGGGUUUGUGGAAACGGUUCAAGCAUUCGCGUAAAGUGUGGGUGCAUGUGUUUAUUUAUUUUCCGACAAAGGGGGUGCAUGCGUUUAUAAAGAUGAGUCUAUGUGAGCGUCUAUAAUAUGUUUCUAGAGAAAAGGGGCGACAAUUAUAGCAGCUCUCUUUACAUACGCCCAAGCUGAAUUUUGUAGUAUCAUACUCCAUCAGGGCAGAUACAUAGGGCACGCACAUGUUCUUAGGUCAUCAAUUUGACUAACAAAAUAGUAUAUGUUAUAUGCCACCAAAAUUAUAUGUUUAGAAAUGUUAUUCGAAUAUGAAUCCAAUGAUAUACUUUUGGUUUUGUGGGAAGAAAAUGAUAAGCUGUCUGCUGGAGGGGGUACAUGGACUACGCAAAAGUACGAGAAACAGCUCAAGUGUGUGCCGGAGCUAGUAUAAAGGCACUCUUGGUGCCUGUGUCUAUUUGUACCGUUAAGGCCUCACCUCCAUACCUCUUUUUUUUGCGGGGGGGCCCACCUCCAUACUGUACUGUCUAAUGAAUCUAACAAUGCCAUGUAUCCACAUUUUGUACUGUCUAAUAAUUCAAAAGAUCACAUGUAGUGAGAUCAUUCUAGCUGGUGGUGGUCUGGAGCCCCGGCAGCCAUCAGGUUGAUCUUGGCAAUGGUGCCAGGAUGGUGGAAACGCCAAACUGAAGGGAAGAAGAAGAAAAGGCAGGCAGAGGGGUGCGUGCUGGCUCGAGGAACUAACAGGAAACUCGCCGCGCGCAUUGAUCAGAGCAAAGAGAAAACUAACCAGAGUUGAAGAAGAAGGCCCGACUAGCGACUGCACUCCCAAGCCUCCGUCCACCCUCAGAUGUAGCUAAUGCGUCGCAUACACUGCGGUGUGCCUUCCACCCAACUACCAGAGCAUCCUCCGGUCUCAUUUGAGGCCGGCACAGCUUCAUGUCCAUCGUGUCUCUGAAUGAUCGGCCUCAAUGAAACAUGGCUGAGGCGAGCGCAAAUUGGACAAUCUCUGCCUGUCUGAAUAUAUUGUGUGCUCAGUUUUAGUGGAUUUGCCAGUCACGAAUGGGGCAGUGAACUCUGCAUUCCAAGCCCUCACACCAGCCACAGGUGUGCCACGCUUAGAUUCCACACCACACCACUUGCUAUUCAUACACAAACCGAGUCUGCAAGCAUACGAGCUUAAAGCUGUUAAGAUGUUCCAGAUUGAUACUGCCAGGGGUAAACUAACAUUGUCCGCAGAGAGCUAAAGAACCCUAGAAGUCGAGCCAACUCGGGCCAACAAGACAAACCUACGCACCCUCAAGACCACCAGAAAGUAGAAACCAUCUACACUAACUCGAGUGCUCCAUGGAAGAGGCUUCACGGAGUCUUGACAAAGUGCAGGCUCAGAAGCUUGGCAAUCUCCAGGAACCCAACAC
rnacentral:lncRNA from 1 species